GUGCCAGCAGCCGCGGUAAUACGUAGGUGACAAGCGUUGUCCGGAAUUAUUGGGCGUAAAGGGAGCGCAGGCGGUUGGAAUAGUCUGAUGUGAAAGCCCACGGCUUAACCGUGGAAGGUCAUUGGAAACUGUCCAACUUGAAUGCAGAAGAGGUAAGUGGAAUUCCAUGUGUAGCGGUGAAAUGCGUAGAUAUAUGGAGGAACACCAGUGGCGAAGGCGACUUACUGGUCUGUGAUUGACGCUGAGGCUCGAAAGCGUGGGUAGCGAACAGGAUUAGAUACCCUGGUAGUCC
rnacentral:rRNA from 1 species